rnacentral:rRNA from 1 species
GUGGGGAAUAUUGGACAAUGGGCGAAAGCCUGAUCCAGCCAUGCCGCGUGUGUGAAGAAGGUCUUCGGAUUGUAAAGCACUUUAAGUUGGGAGGAAGGGUAGUAACCUAAUACGUUGCUACUUUGACGUUACCGACAGAAUAAGCACCGGCUAACUUCGUGCCAGCAGCCGCGGUAAUACGAAGGGUGCAAGCGUUAAUCGGAAUUACUGGGCGUAAAGCGCGCGUAGGUGGUUCAGUAAGUUGGAAGUGAAAUCCCCGGGCUCAACCUGGGAACUGCUUUCAAAACUGCAUGACUAGAGUACGGUAGAGGGUAGUGGAAUUUCCUGUGUAGCGGUGAAAUGCGUAGAUAUAGGAAGGAACACCAGUGGCGAAGGCGACUACCUGGACUGAUACUGACACUGAGGUGCGAAAGCGUGGGGAGCAAACAGGAUUAGAAACCCGUGUAGUCC